rnacentral:misc_RNA from 1 species
UUUCCGUAGGUGAACCUGCGGAAGGAUCAUUAUUGAAUGAACUUGGUGUGGUUGUUGCUGGCCCUUUUGGGGGCAUGUGCACACCCACCAUCCUCAUCUCUCCACCUGUGCACCUCUUGUAGACCUGGGAUAGAUUUUCCGAGGCAACUCGGUCUGGAGGAAUGCUGCCCUAAGCUUUCUUUGUAUUUCCUGGUCUAUGUUUUUCAUAUACCCGAUAGCAUGUAACAGAAUGUAUCAUUUGGGCGCUUGUGCCCUAUAAACCUUAUACAACUUUCAGCAACGGAUCUCUUGGCUCUC